AAAUGAGGUGGCUCCUGCUGUUUUUCAACAGGUCUCCCAGUGGGUAUUUGUGUCCCAUGCUGCACUUGGGCUAAUCAUCUUUCAAGUCACUCCACAUCAGAUGAAGUGGAAAGGAGACCCCAGACAGUGUGUACGGGUCAGUCUGGCUGGGGAAGCAAGCAAAGGGAUGAUAUGUCUGAGUGACCAGAUCAGUGAAGUGCCACAGCAAGCCAGUGAUAUAUCAUAUUAUAAAAGUAUCAUCAACAUAUAAUGGUCACAUUCUCCAGUGCAUAACAAACAUACGUGCUUGUUAAGUGCCGACUGAACGAACAUUCAGUACCUCCAGAGCCAUGAUGUUCCACAGAAAGAAACAUAUGGAGAUAGGCAGGACUUGUUAAUUUGUUCUCAAAAGGAUACAGAUAAAAGCAGAUGCUAAGGGGAAAUAAAU
rnacentral:lncRNA from 1 species